rfam:Orientia tsutsugamushi str. Gilliam got.contig.23_1, whole genome shotgun sequence.
AAAGUCCAGUUAUGGAAGGAGAAGCUAGAUCCACCAUAUAGCGAGUCUUGUGCUGCUGAAGGUAACGACAGUAGUAAAGCGUAGAGCGAAAUAUUCGAGCUGAAACCAAAUGGUGAACGUGAUAGCACUGAAAGUGAGGUGUAGUGGAAGCCGAUAUGUUCUAGCCCAUAGUAGGCAAAAGAAGAUUGGAGGUCAAACUAGUGAAAAUCCAAAAAUUUUCAACCACCGGGUUCGCAGGCGU